rnacentral:rRNA from 1 species
UACAGAGGGGGCAAGCGUUGUUCGGAAUUACUGGGCGUAAAGGGCGCGUAGGCGGCCUGCUAAGUCGAACGUGAAAUCCCCGGGCUCAACCCGGGAACUGCGUCCGAUACUGGCAGGCUUGAAUCCGGGAGAGGGAUGUGGAAUUCCAGGUGUAGCGGUGGAAUGCGUAGAUAUCUGGAGGAACACCGGUGGCGAAGGCGGCAUCCUGGACCGGUAUUGACGCUGAUGCGCGAAAGCCAGGGGAGCAAACGGG